CACUGUUUUCCAUUAUACAUUGAUUACUUACUUCACCAAUAUACAAUUAUUGACUAUUUUGUAUUAUUAAUUUCAGGAGAAUUUUCAAACUCGACGAAUAAUCACACAAAAUCAAAAGCAAAAAUUUCGGCAACUUUUUAAACAGGAGAAUGUUCAAACUCGCCGAAUAAUCUCACAAAAUCGGAAGAAAACAUUUGGCGACUUUUUAAACAGGAGAAUUAUCAAACUCGUCGAAUAAUCACACAAAAUCAGAAGCAAACAUUUUGGCGACUUUUUAAACAGGUAUAUUCGAAUGACUGUUA